AUUGAACGCUGGCGGCAGGCCUAACACAUGCAAGUCGAGCGAGCGGCGGACGGGUGAGUAAUGUCUGGGAAACUGCCUGAUGGAGGGGGAGAACUACUGGAAACGGUAGCUAAUACCGCAUACCAUCAGAUGGGCACAGAUGGGAUUAGCUAGUAGGUGGGGUAAUGGCUCCCCUAGGCGACGAUCCCUAGCUGGGCUGAGAGGCUGACCAGCCACACUGGAACUGAGCAACGGUCCAGACUCCUACGGUAGGCAGCAGUGGGGAAUAUUGCACAAGGGGCGAAAGCCUGAUCCAGCCAUGCCGCGUGUGUGAAGAAGGUCUUCGGAUUGUAAAGCACUUUAAGUUGGGAGGCGUUGCCAACAGAAUAAGCACCGGCUAACUUCGUGCCAGCAGCCGCGGUAAUUC
rnacentral:rRNA from 1 species